GCCGCAAUAGCUCAGCUGAUAGAGCAUCUCAUUCGUAAUGAGAGGGUCGGGGGUUUGAAUCCCUCUUGCGGCUCCA
rnacentral:tRNA from 1 species